AACCGAGUCCGAAUAGGGCGCAUAGUUGCUGGGCGUAGACCCGAAACCAAGUGAUCUAUCCAUGGCCAGGUUGAAGGUGCCGUAACAGGUACUGGAGGACCGAACCCACUAGUGUUGCAAAACUAGGGGAUGAGCUGUGGAUAGGGGUGAAAGGCUAAACAAACUUGGAAAUAGCUGGUUCUCUCCGAAAACUAUUUAGGUAGUGCCUCACGUAUCACUCUCGGGGGUAGAGCACUGUCAUGGCUAGGGGGUCAUCGCGACUUACCAAACCAUAGCAAACUCCGAAUACCGAGAAGUGCGAGCGUGGGAGACAGACAUCGGGUGCUAACGUCCGGUGUCAAGAGGGAAACAACCCAGACCGCCAGCUAAGGUCCCAAAUGACGUGCUAAGUGGUAAACGAAGUGGGAAGGCAUAGACAGCCAGGAUGUUGGCUUAGAAGCAGCCAUCAUUUAAAGAAAGCGUAAUAGCUCACUGGUCGAGUCGUCCUGCGCGGAAGAUGUAACGGGGC
rnacentral:rRNA from 1 species